rnacentral:lncRNA from 1 species
AGCUCUUUAAAAUGAAUAAUACCCAAUAGGGUAAUGUUUGAGUCUAACAGAACAUGACUCCAAUCAUUUAACGCCAAUCUUCCACUGAAGAAACGGAACAUCGUAUGAAAGGCCAACUCACCGAGUUGAGAAAGGAAAGAGGUGGAAUUGGAUGUUUUGCUUUAUCUCCCUUGUAAAUCAGUGAACUAUAAAUCCAGAAUACGAUUUUACCCAGAAAACCAUUCAACAAUACGAAAAUUUAUGAGAAGUCGACAGCAAAAGAGCCAAUGGUUGCCUGCUCUGCCUCCGCACCGACAGUUGAAGAUAAAUUCAGUCUCUUUGGGUUUUAGGGUAUUGCAGUUGCAAGUAGGCAUGGCCACCGGUUCGGUUCUAACCGGAACCGAACCGUACUGUAGACGAACCGAAACUGGACCGGAACCGGUGGUUCAAAAUUUUGAACCAGAACCGGCGGUUCAAGGGCCGGUUAAGGUUCACGUGAAUGUUUAAAAAAUGAACCUGAACCGGCCCGGAACCGGCGGUUCUGGUCCGGUUCGAACCGGAUGACAAUUAAAAAAUUUUUUAUAGCUUAAAAUUUUUUUAAAUUUUUUAUAAAAAAAUUUAUAUCACUUGAUUUGAUUGUAGUUGACUUGAUUUGAUUUAUGAUGAAAAGAAGUACAAUGGUACAUAAUUUAUAAAAAGUGGUGAAAAAAAAUACACAUGGUUUGACUUAAUUUGUACAAAAAAUGGUACAUGAACAGUUGAUUUGUAAAAAAAAAAAAAAAAAAAAAAAACUAUGAGUAAAAAAGAAGGUACAAACGGCUAGUUUUUUAGAUUUGAGGUGACUUUUUUUUUUUCAAAUAAAUUUUAUUUAUUUUUAAUCAUUUAUUAUUUAUUUAUUAUAAUUUACUAAAAAAAAAUUAUGAGUAAAAGAGAAGGUACAAACGGCUAGUUUUUUAGAUUUGAGGUGACUUAUUUUUUUUUUCAAAUAAAUUUUAUUUAUUUUUAAUCAUUUAUUUAUUUAUUUAUUAUAAUUUACUAAAUUAUCCAAAAAUAUAGUUGGUAUUUUUCUGUUAUAAGGGACAAUUUGAGAAACUGAUAAAUGAAAAAUAUGUAUAAAUAUGAUGAGUUGAUGAUUUUUUUUUCACAACCAAUUACAUCCUAACUCUACUCUUAUUCUCAAUCAAAAUUCUCUCAAGUCUCAAAUUUACAUAGUUCAUUAUUUUUUCUAUUGCUUUAUCUUUCUUAAUAUUGGAAUUAUCUAUUAUUUAUUUUUAUUUUCAUACAUCCAAUUCUAAAUUCCUUCUAAUCUCAAUUUUUCCAUUCAUAAAUUUACUUCAUUUGAUUUUUUUUUAAUAAUUUUCUUAGUAUUUGGAAAUAAUAAUUUCCAACUCAUUCCAUUAAUUUNNNNNNNNNNNNNNNNNNNNNNNNNNNNNNNNNNUUUUUUUCCAUAAUUCCAUUUAAAAUUAUGGCACACAAUUCACAAAACUCCAAGGGAAAGCGAGUUGCUCAAAGCGUGGAAGAAAUUGAUUCAAACGAUCCAUUGAUUAGUUUUUCACCACAAUUUAAUGAUGAAAUUCAAUAUCAAACUCUAGUUGAGGAGAGUUAUACUCGUCGUCAUUCACCACAAGAAGAAGCAACAUCUCCUAAUAUUUCAAUAGGUAAACCACCAAAAUCAGAUAUUUUCAAGAAGCACUUUGCAAAAAUUGUUCAAGAUAACGGAGAAAUCAAUGCGGUUCGAUGUAAUUAUUGCAAAAAAGAAUAUGCAUUCAAGCUUGGAGGAGGCUAUGGUACUCUCCAUAGGCAUUUAAAAUCACGUCAUCCAAGUGAGGUAGAAAUGGAUGUAACUCAAACUGAAUUAUCGUCAUCAAGGUAUGGUGAUCCUAACACUCCUCUAUUUAAAUAUAGUGAUGAAACUAAUAAAAUUGAAAUGGCUAAAAUGGUUUAUAUGGAACGAUUAUCUUUUUCAUUUGGUGAAAAAAUUGGAUUUAAUAACUAUUGUAAAAAAGCAUUAAAUCCUUUAGCAAAAAAAAUACCUAGGAAUACACUUAAAAGGACUAUUUUAUCUAUUUAUUUNNNNNNNNNNNNNNNNNNNNNNNNNNNNNNNNNNNNNNNNNNNNNNNNNNNNNNNNNNNNNNNNNNNNNNNNNNNNNNNNNNNNNNNNNNNNNNNNNNNNNNNNNNNNNNNNNNNNNNNNNNNNNNNNNNNNNNNNNNNNNNNNNNNNNNNNNNNNNNNNNNNNNNNNNNNNNNNNNNNNNNNNNNNNNNNNNNNNNNNNNNUUUUUUCACACUAGAUGUGCAUGUCAUAUUUUAAAUUUAUGUGUUCAAGAUGCAUUAACAACAUUAAAUGUAUUUUUACGUCCAAUAAAAAAUGCUUUAAAUCAUUUAUGGACACAUGGAUAUGUUAGAAAAGAAUUUAAAAAUUUUUGUCACUCUAUGGGAAAAAAAUAUAAAAAAUUUUCAAGAGAUAUUCCUACAAGGUGGAAUUCAACUUAUAAAAUGUUAAAUGAGUCUUAUGAAUAUAAAGAUAUUCUUUCUGCCUUUAUGCAAUUGCAUGCAUCACAUUUUCAACUUUAUCCAAUCAAUUGGACUAUUUGUAAAAAAAUAUUAGAUAUUUUGCAAGUUUUUGAAAAUUGUACAAGAAUUUUUAGUGNNNNNNNNNNNNNNNNNNNNNNNNNNNNNNNNNNNNNNNNNNNNNNNNNNNNNNNNNNNNNNNNNNNNNNNNNNNNNNNNNNNNNNNNNNAUGAUGAUUUACAAGAAUGUAUAUUCAUGAUGAAAACUAAAUGGUUAAAAUAUUAUACUGAAAUUCCGGAUUUAAAUUUAGUUGCAUUUUUUCUUUGUCCUAGAUUUAAGUUAGUUGCAUUAGAAGAAUUUUUUCGUAUUUAUUAUGGAUCUUUUAAUAUUGAUGUAGAUUAUUUUUCUCUUACUAAUAAUGUUUUAAGGUAUGUCCGUCAAUUGUAUAACGAGUAUUCUAAAUUAGUAUCUCCCCUUCCUCAAUUAUCACAUCCACAAAAUACACAAUCCACUAAAUUUCAUUCUACACAAUUUACUUUCAUGCAAACCUGGUUCUUAAUUUUUUAAUAUCAAGAUGCCUUUUUACCAGUUUAUAUUUUGCUUCUGCGUUUUCAAUGUGUCUAUCAUUUGUUUUUGGUUGAAAUAGAAUUCUUUGGGAUUCAACAUCAAAAGAUGAAGACCAAUAGAUAUUCCCAUGGAACUUCUAUGCAUAAAUAAUUUUAUUUUACUUUUGAUGCAUGAAUAAUAUUAUUUUAUCUUUGUUGAAAGUAAACAAGAAAUAAGAGGGGAGAGGGAGUCUGAACAACUUUUUAGUAUCAAUUAUGAUCAUCUUUGACACUGUUGUUCUGCAACUGAUUUGUAGCUCCAUUGGUGACAAUUGAGAGCACAGUAUUGUAAGCUAGUGGUUGUUUUCGAGAAAAUGGAAAUAUGUUCAAUGAUUCUCUGGCAUAAAAUUUAAUGCAAAAAUGGCUGUUAAUGAUGCUCUUGCUUUGGUUACAGGUUCGUGAUAUUUUCUCGAAAGCCACUGCUGCAGCACCAUGCCUUCUCUUUUUUGAUGAAUUUGAUUCCAUUGCCCCAAAAAGAGGGCAUGACAAUACUGGUGUUACUGAUCGUGUUGUUAAUCAAGUCAGUUCCAUAUUUUCUUUCAUUUUUUUUUUUUUUUUUCUUUUUUGUGUUCGUUUUCUGAAUUAAGGUUCUCAUCGUAACAUUACUCUCCUCUCUCAGUUUCUCACUGAAUUAGACGGUGUUGAAGUAUUAACUGGUGUAUUCGUAUUUGCUGCAACAAGGUUAGUUUCUUUGUGGAGUUAAGUUAUGUUAUUUUAGGUUAUUCUCAUAGCACUAAUUACUGGAUAGUCAAUACUAAUAUGUGUAGAAAGAUACUUUUGCAUUAUGCCUCUGUAGCCUUUUCAAUUACUUAAAUCAGAUACUCGAUAAAUAGUUAACAGUAUUUUAGUGCAUGAGUACCACAGCAUGAUGCAUAAAAUUUCAUUUUGCUUCUUGUGUUAAAUAUUUGUUGUACAUCCUUAGUAACUUAUCAAAUGAUGUUCUGCACAUAAGCUUUAUUUAAAUAGGAUGGAUUGUACAGAUUCUAGUCUCAUACCAUAUCUCAAUAAAAACCAAUUCUCCAUUAUUUUCUGUGAAUAUAUGACUUGCAAUAUGGGCAUUAGCAGUAAGUACUAAAUGAUAUGUAGUGGAAAAGGUACAUUGUAGGGAUUUUCUUCUUCAAUUAUGUUGAAUGUUUACAGCUAUAGUUUCUGAUUUACCCUUUAUGUAAAUCUCUCUCUCUCUCUCUCUCUCUCUCCACUCAUUUGCAUGCUCACUCAUUCUCACAUUUGUCGAGCAGUAGACCAGAUCUACUUGAUGCUGCAUUGCUCAGACCUGGUAGGUUAGAUCGUCUUCUUUUCUGCGAUUUUCCAUCUCAGCAGGAGAGGUUAGACAUCCUUACGGUUCUUUCCCGAAAGGUGAGUGGUUCUGCCCAGAUUUAAUUUUAGGUGGAAUCCAUGUAAAGUAUUGCUGUUUCUUUUUGCGUUUCUUAUGUCUGCUUUCUGCCAAUUAAUGCAGCUACCGAUGGACAGUGAUGUUGACUUAGAUGCCAUCGCAUGUAUGACAGAAGGAUUUAGUGGAGCUGACCUACAAGCUCUUCUAUCAGAUGCACAACUUGCGGCAGUUCAUGAACAUCUGAGUGCAGACAGCAGCAAACAUGGGAAAAUGCCAGUCAUAACUGAUGCCUUGUUGAAGUCCAUUGCUUCCAAAGCAAGACCAUCCAUUUCUGAAUCUGAGAAGCGGAGACUAUAUGGUAUUUAUAACCAGUUCUUGGAUUCAAAGAAAUCUGCUGCCGCCCAGGUCCCUCUCUCUCAUCACAUUUUCAUGUGCUUGCAAGAGGGAGCAAGACGGAAGAGGAGAAAUCCAUUUUAUUUACUUCCAACGCUACCGUUUCGACUUAGCUAAUUUGACUGGUGUUCUUAGAGGCUGAGUCCAGCAUGGUUCAGCAUAAUACCAGGCCCAACUCGAACCGAAAAUGCUUCCCUCCUACCUUGUGAUUUUCCUCUCAAAAAUUAUGAGAUUAUUACGAGUUCAAUAUUUCAACCUAAUUGAAAAAAGUUCUAAAGAAAAGCAGUGGUGCCGUACAAGAUCCUCCUUUUGAUUUAAGAAAAGCAACGCAAAACUAACGAUCAUAGCAUGUCUAUGGAUUGACAAUGUUUAAUUUCAAAUUACAUGGCCUUUGCUGUUCAUUUUUAGAUAAAAACAGGCAAACAUGCCCGCGCCUCGCAGCGGCAUUACAUUGCAAUUUCUUUUUAUCAUAACAAAUAAGUUUCAUGCAGUACACAUAUCCAAGAAUAGAUUACAUGGAAGUAUAUAUUGAUCAUUUAAGAUUAAACUAUUUUCUAAAUUAAAGCAGUAAAAAGUUUUAAAUUAUUCCUAUAUCUGUUGGAAACGCUGAAUCCUAAAACCACUGACCAACAGUAUAAAAGUUGUCGAAUAAUUGAGAAGCAAUUCAUAAAAUCUAAAAUUGAUCCACUUAAUAUGAAAAACAAUAAACAACUGUUUUAAAAGUUAAUCAAAAAGUAAAAUACAUUUUCUAAGAUCAAGUAAUAUACAUUAUGCUUCAUUCAAGCGCAUCCCAUGGUCUCAGAGUAUCCUUGAGAAAAAACACUGAAUCAAAAGAUAAUAAUUUCAAGCUUCUUGAAAAGAUCUUCAACACAUUAAAAAAUAUAAAUAUAUAUGAAUUACAAUGAGAUAACAGCUUUUUAAAUAUUUGACAGCAUACAGAUGGACACAUUCUUAGCGUAGAAUGAGGAAAACAUUAAGAGAUCUAAAAUUUGAAGCCCACACCAAAAAGACAGACUAUGCAAUAAAUAAAUAAGAGAUUUUUACAGGGAAAGAAAGGAAAAUGGAGAUGAAAACAAAUAAAUGAUACCAAUGAGUACAAAAAAAUGAAAAAGAAAAGAACCUCAUAUAAAAAGAGAGUAAUUGAGCUGAAAAAUGGUGAAAGAGGAGAAAUCUCCACCUUUGUAAUCAUUAUUCCUAAUUAUUAAGCUUUAUUACCUUAAUAUUAUCUCUGUAAAGUAAUUUCCUUAAACUAUACACAGUUUCAGAUUUUUUUAGCUCCCAUUUGUAGAAAUAAUGCUACUACUUUGCUUACUCUGCUAGAAAAAGAUGACUUGAUCAACCAAAAUUCAGACUUUCCCUUUCCUUCCUGAACCAGAAGCAAUUAUUUUCCUUUCCUUUCCUUACUAUACAUGCAAUUACACGAGAGAGUUAGAUAAAGGGCCAGCACCAUGUCCACAGAUCUAUUAGGCAUUUCGGCAGCAAUUGAAGAUCGGAAAGAAUUAAAUAAAUAUAAAAAAAUGCAUAUUUUUGGGUUUUUUUUUUUUUGGGGGGGGAGGGGAGGGGGAGGAGGAGGAUAAGAUAUGUUCUCUUUGUUUAAAUUUUAACAUGGAAUUUCAAAGAUAAAACCAAUAAAACAUUACAUGUAUCAGCAAAUGGAAGCUUUCGUGACCUACACCUAUUUCAAACAAAUUUCAAACAAAAAAAGGUUAAAAAUCAGUUGAUUUAUGCUUUUAAGCAUCUCUUUUUUCUUAAAAUACAAAAUCAUCCUCCUCCUAGCAACACAAAUUUCUAAUAAUAAAAUCUGGCAACUGAUAAUAACUAUUGCCUUCACUUUACACCUUCCUUCUGCACACAACCUUUCUGCUCAGCCUCUUCCUACUGUACCUUCUGCUUCUCAAAAUAUAAUUUGUUUAAAUUGCUUAAAAAUGCGUGAAGAGCAGUUCCUGGACUAAUGGAGUAAACCAUACCCUACACUUUGAAUUGGUAUAUGAAAGAGAGGAAAAGAGAAACUAAAAAAUUACUUGGCAGAAAUAGAAUCGCUUUUCCAUAUAAAUUCUCCUUUAAGAUUCCCUAAAAGCCUAGUUACAGAAUUUAUUUUCUCCAAUAAAUUUAGCUUCUUGACCAUUAGUAAUGGCUAACAAUUUAUCAGCCCAGAAAAAAAAUACAAAAAUGGAACCGGAGGUUUUCUUGUGACAUUCUUUUUCAUUCAUUUCUCACAAACUAAGCCUAUACGGAAUCUCUAUAAGCGUAAUAACAGCAAACAAUAGCGCACAUUCAAUCAAAUAACAUGAAUCUAGCCGAAACAAAUUCAAUUCGAUUCACAAUAAGCAAGAUAUAGCAUACCUUAGCAGACAUUGCUCAAAAUGUCAUUCAUCCUUCUCUCUAUUCUUCACUACAAAAUAACCAAUAACUGAUUGGUAAGAAACCUGCUGAGAGUUUCAAUCAAUUAGGAAGAGAAGAUCAAAUCGAAAUCCUAACAAUGAAAAUUUUAACCAAUAUCCAACUUAAACUCAGAAUCAAUGCAUAUCAAGCAUUUCAAGUCCACACAGCAAAAAGAACAUUAAAUAUAAACAAUGAAAGAUUCUAUAAACUGGAAUAGUAGCUUAGAAUCAAAAUUCUCCCCUUUCCUCCUUCCGAGAACUGAAACUGUGAUUUGCAAAGAGAGAAGUUUUGAGAGAGAGAGAGAGGGGAAAAUAGAGAGUGCAGAUAUUUGAUGCAGGGAGGGUAAAGGCAAAUAAAAAUGAAAAUCACCUGGAAGAUCCGGAAAAUGGAAGUGAAGUGGCAGUAUUUGAAGAAAUUGAGUGGGUGUAGAAGUCGGUCGACGGAAGAUCGUGAAAAUAGAGGAUAGGACAAAAUAGAAAUAACAUAAAAAGCAAAUGGUUAAAUUGUCAAAUCCCUGUUCCAGAACAGUGAUUUUGGUUUUCAUUUCAGUAUAUAUAUAAUAUAAUUUUUGGUGACCAAAAACAUUUACAGAACAAGAAACUUAAAACAUAUAUAACAGCAAAAGCUUAAGAUAGGGAGAACAUGAACAAGGAGAGGAUACUACUAGUACGAGACACAUGAAUCUUCUUAUUAACAAAUAAAUUGAUAGACUCACCUAUUACAAGUUAAUUAGAUAAAGUAACCUCAUUUCAGUCAAGCUAAUGCAAUGUUGUGUCCAGUUUACAUUAAACUGCAGUAUGCUUUACAAAUGAAUCCCCCAAAUUCUUCAUCAAACUCAAACCAAGUUCAACAAUAUCAAUUUUCCCCAGGAGAACAUCUGACAAUUCAGGUACUUGUUCUUGAUAUUUGAUCACAAACAUGUCCAAGAAAUUUUUUUCAGAAGAUUGAAGAAUAUAUUUUAAACUGAUGUCUGGUUUGAUCAAACCCUUCAGAAUCAAAACUCUUACAACUGAACACCUUGGAACAAUCCUCUUUUCCAAACUAUAACAUAAAACAAUUGGAAAUUUUAUAACAAUUGCAGGCUGCCAACCCAUUUUGUUCACAAGAAAAUCCAUCUUCUUCAUAAAUGUCUUCUCUGAUAAAGUCAUAAACAGAGGAAAGUUUCUGAAAGCAGACAAUAUUUCUUCUUCCGACAAACCCGAUCUACUAUAAGCAUCAAUUUUACGUUUCCAUGUUUUGGAGUUCAGUUGAAUAAUCACUCGAAGUGCAUUAGCAAAUUGAAGAUUCAGAGGAUCAAAUCCCAUACCUAUAACCUUUUUAACAGCUCCAAUAAACUUAUCAGAUUUUAGGCAUAUAAUGUUGGGGUUACAGGUAAUCAAAAUAGAGAUGGUAGAUAGACGCAUUCCCAGCUCUCUUAAGACUGAUACAUUAAUGGGCAAGUGUUCCUUGACAUAGCACAUGUUUAAUGGUGAUAUGCGUUUCAAUAUAAUAAGAACUUUCUCAUCAGAAAAUAAUAAACUUUUAAGAAAAUCAUAAAAUGGGAUCAAAAGAUUGUUCAAGCUGCCUGACAAGAAAAUUGGGUUCCUAGAUAUCAUCACCGGAAGGUCUGAGUCAGAAAUCCCAACAGAACGUAAAAAUUGAAUCUUUGGCAAUAUUGUCUUCUCGGGAUCGAAUAAAAUCAACCUGGGCUGUCCCCUAACAAUUUGGGAGAUCUGGUAUUUGGUCAGUCCAUUGUCUUUGAGAAGACUAAUGACAGAAUCUGGUCUUUCAGGGUUUUCAAACUUAACGUACUUUGAAAUAAGUUUAGCAUAUUGUGAUGAUAAGCCACAUGAGUUGAUGAGAUAGGACACUGUAAACGAGCGUUGAUUAGAAUUAGAUGAGAAAUACCUGACUGUAAGCAGCUCUUUAAAAUGAAUAAUACCCAACUGGGUACUGUUUGAGUCUAACAGAACAUGACUCCAAUCAUUUAACGCCAAUCUUCCACUGAAGAUAUGGAACAUCGUUUGAUAGGCCAACUCACCGAUUUGAGAAAGGAAAGAGUUGGAAUUGGAUGUUUUGCUUUAUCUCCCUUGUAAAUCAGUGAGCUAUAAAUCGAGAAUACGAUUUUACCCAGAAAACCAUUCAACAGUACGAAAAUUUAUGAGAAGUCGACAGCAAAAGAGCCAAUGGUUGCCUGCUCUGCCUCCAC